UUAACCAUGAUACGGGGAUAAUUGCGCCAGCAGAUGGUCCAUCAAGUCAUCAGCCGGUUGGCUCUGGGAUCAGAUCUUAUCAAACCAAAGUCCAAAGGUCAGAACACCGAUAUAAAGACAGUUGGUCCAUUUAAUAGACAGGUCCCCAGGGAGGUUGGUCAGUUCAGUUAGAAAAAAAUCCCAAGCGAGGAGGUUGACUCGAGGUAGGAUACGAUGGCGUUCUCCUUGACGACCCGCAAUCCAACUGACACACCAAGGACCUCCGGUCACAUGAUCAUGCACGCCGUGACCAUCGCCCUGGCAACCCUUACACACAUCCUCUGUGAGGUGGUUCGCUGUCUGGCGACCGACCCCAGCACGCCCAACGCCCUCUUCCAGGUGUCUGCGAGGAAUGUGUCGGCUACCUUUCCCAUGGAGGUCAGCAUGGACACCUGGGCGGAGAACUGCUGGAUCAUGAUCAACAUCUGGACGCUUGCUUGGAUGUUGCACGCCAUGGCUACCCUGUUCCAGCGAUCCGUAGUUGGACCUCUGUCCUGCAACCCAGAGAUCCACUCCCCUCUGUUCUUCCUCGUUUGGACCACCAUCAACAUGUUCAGGAUGGCCGCGAUCCUCCACUGGUCCAGAUAUGAUCUGGUUGGGACGUUGCUAUCCAGGUGGCUGGUGGUGGGGUGUAGUUUCUUCACCCUGGGAAUGUCCUACCGUAACCUGGCCCACCACAGUGCCUGGCUUCAAAUCAACCACCCAGCACAGAUCUGCUGGAUACGAUACCUGGCCCAGAACGGUUUGGCUGUGUUCUGCUGCUGGUCCCUGCUGGAGGCGCUGGUGGUUCUGGGUCAGGUCCUCUGCUACGUGGGGGGCUUCCCGGACCCUAUGAUCAGCUCUAUCAUCUUCCUCCUCAUCCUCCUGUUCAUCAAAGUCUGGAUUGCGCUUGAGAGACUUGUGUUCCCCAGACACCUAUGCUACACCUUCACCACGUACCCCACCCUGAUCCUGGGCCUUGGAGCCAUGUUCACCGCCAGCUACCAGUUCCAAGCCAUGGCUGCUAACACCAUCUUAUGUGGUAUCAUAAUGGUGUUAGCCACCUGCUUCAGCAUCGCCAGCACCGUCUACAGCUGUUUUCUUGACGAUGAACCCCCCGUCCACUCUCCGGCGUUAGAGUUCGACCUGACCUCGGAGGGAUGCGAGACAGUGUGCAAGGUGGAGAGCGACAAGACCAAACGCAUCAAGUCUGUUCCGCACAUCCUCAAGAAAAUACUCAGUGACGUUAGAGUUGGGUCACAUUAAAAGAACAGACUUCCUGCGGCUGACCCCGUUUCUGUGUAUGUGAAUAAAUAGAGUAAAGUGUGUCUGCUGAUUGUUUUACGUGUCUUAGUUUGGUUAAUGGUUGGUAUUUUGGAUGCACUGCAAUGUAAUCGCCAGCAGGGCGUGCUAAGGAAACACGUCAAAUAACAGGGACUUGAUGUGAUCAUAUGGGCUCCGGCUUGAUUGUACACUUCAUGCAACCUCCCGUUGGAUUGAGCAAUGAUUACAUUGCGUGUUUUCAGUUGAGAAAUCUGAUUUGUAUUUUUUAGACAGGUACCACUACACGGUUUAAGUCGUUAAUUUUGCGUUUGGAAAUGAUCAUUCAGUGUUUUCCCGUCUCCUACCUGCUUAGGUCUAAGCAUACAAUGACUAGACCACACAAAAUAAAUCGAAAGGAUAAUUGGGCCACCUGUUGGUGAAUAAAUUUGGUUUGAACCGGAGCUCAGUUUAUUUUCAUCUCAGGGAAAGUCAAUUGCGGAGUCUGUAUUGCAAUUUAAACUGGCAAGUGAUCAUCCAGCGAAAGUAAAGAAGUAGAAAAAGUCCCACACACAUACGCACACGCACACAUUCACAC
ensembl:lncRNA